AUCUCUAAUCACUGACACAAUUUUGGUCAGUGGCUCGUGGCCAGGCUUUCUCAGGGCCAACCCAAGGAGGAAUGGGGACAGGCAAGUGCCUCCUGCACUGCCUGGUUUGCAGCAGCCAGGCUGAGUCCCCAGUGCUGGAGCAUCACUGCAAGGGCCGGAGGAGGUAGUGCAGGGUUUAGGGCAGUGAGGUGCCAGCCAGUGGCCAGUCAGGGUGCUGCUGAGGUUCCGGCUCUUGAGGUGACUUACUGCAUUGUUGCUCCGGGCACGAGGAUUUUGGCAAAUUGGGAUGCUCUGGUGAGAAAAAGGCUUCUGCUCAACACCUCACUCACCUUUCUGUGCUUAAAGGGUAUUUCCCCAGUUCGCAGUAUCAGGGUGCCGGGCACACCGUGAAGCUGUUUGGAUUCUGUGUUGAUAAGGCGAGUGCAAACUGUCCCCACAGCUCUCGAGAGCACAAUCAAACUGAAACUUACCACUCAGAGUAGAAAGCGCACAACACCCACAGCUACAGACCUGCACAAAUUGCUGCAAUAUAGGUUAGAAAAGGAGCCCUGUGUCUGCACCCGCUGGUCUCACUAAACACACACAUACACAGCCUUCUCUGAAUGACUGAGACCAGCGCGUGCUCCCUCCUGCACACCCAGCUCACUCGUCACAGCUCAUUAAGCAGGCAGAUUUUCACUUUUCAGGUGUCCUUGUUCCCCUUCGCUGCAGUUUCUGCGAUGUUUUUAACCUCUGUUUCUCUCGUGACCAGCUGUCAGUGAAGUGAGACCUCCCGGGGACACCACCCAGCCCUGUUCACUGGGUCCCACCUGGGGACAUGGAGCCUGCAUGGCCAGAAGAAACCCAGCCCCAAAGAGUUUCUGCAUGGGACUCUGAGGCUGACAAGAAGAGCAGAGCAUGCACAAGGUGUCUUUCCUAGGUGACCUUUUGCAGAGCUGAAUGGCCUGAGCCAGCAGAGCCUGUGCUGCCUGGAGGUGGAAAGCAUCAUCUAAUCAUCCCUGCACCGGGUUUUCCUGCACAGACUGCCAUCCGACUUGUGUCAAGCUGUAAGCUGUCAGUGGAGGCAAGGAGGCUUGGCUUUGAAGCAAAAGGUAUUGGCUAAGGCGAGGAGAGUGCUGUAGUUAACAAAGCCAGCGUGUUUGGCUCUGGCAUGGCUGCUCACAACUUUCCAGCACGGAAAACCAGGAGCCCACAAAGGCAGAAGUCGGCAUUGUCGGAGACAUCAUCGCCCUCGGCACAGAGCGUGUUUGCGGCUGGGAGGGGAGGGCACCCUGCAACGAAGCUCCACACGCACGCUCUCAGAUUGAAGACAAGGGAAGCAUCGGUAAAGCAAUGAACACUUAUAUUUAAUUUACAUUUGACAAUUUGCACAUAAAUAAUGAUGUAAACCAAUACGUAAACAUAGGAUAGUUUGUUGUCCUAGCAAAGUAAAAAGCCUGUUAACUUUGGUCAGAGUCUUUCUUAAGAGAGACAAAAAAAAAAAACCCCAAAACACUGUUGAUUGUUGCUACAUUCACAUGUAAAACGUCUAAGGGAAGGGGGAAACAGUAAAGAAAAGUAACAAUUCUUAAAGCUGAUGCAUAUAAAUUCUUGUAAAAUUUGUAUCAAAUACAAGAAAGCAUUACAGGCAAAUAAUAGGAAAAGUGUGUGUCCAGUGACAGAGUAGUGAUACUUUGGUUUAUCCUACAAGUAAGUACUAUAUUUAUGAACUAUUGCUACAUUUAAAAGAUGUCAGCCUCACAAUUUGCAGGAGUGGAAAUGUAAUGAACUGUAGGUAGUCCUUCAAAAGCUGUGUGGAGAGACUUGUAUUUUGGGAUCAUCUGGUUUUAAACUGAAGGCAUUAAGUUUGCUGAUAAAGACCAGAGAGUCCUGGAUUGCUGCAGUGGGCUACUUCAACAUUCGUAAGAAUAUACCCCAGCAAAAAGGUACAGAUAGCAGGAGGUGUGCAAUAAUGCUGCUUAUAGUUAUGCAAGUUGACCAUGCAACUUGUUCAUGGCAGGGUAAAACAAGAUGAGGGGCUCAUCCCACCAGAAUUCCACCCUGCCCUCCACUAUGCUCUGUGGAUGCACCACACAAGGGUCCUAUUUGGCUUCUGUUCAGGUUCUUUUAGCUAUGUUUUCUGGCCCCAUUUGGCCAGUGACCACCCACCUCCUUCUCUGCUGUACAUGCUGCUGGGAAAGCAGGGGACUG